AGUGUAUAGGAAUGAAACCAAGAACAGAUCCAGAGGACACAAUUGAUGAGGUCAAUGAUGAGUCUGUCAAUGUUGACUUGUCUCAUAAGGUUGCAAACAUCCAUAACUGAUGCCUGAUAUUUGUUGUAACCUCUUCUAGUGAUUCGGAUGGCUUAACCUCUUAAUCUGCACAUUUCUCUCCAUUAUAUGAGAACAGAGGUGUUUCUCAAUGACCUACAAAGAGGAUAAGGUAGAAGAUAACAGUAGAACUUCAUUGGCAUAGUUACUCCUCACCUGUGUUGCUGGAUUGCAGAGAAGAGAUGCUUUCUUGUUAAUAGCUCCAUCUGUAAUCUUUUGUAUCUGGGCAGAAGUCUACCUGCAUUUUGGACAAACAGC
rnacentral:misc_RNA from 1 species